rnacentral:piRNA from 1 species
UGGCCAAGAAAUAUGGUGAUGGUAGAGGGU